GAUUACAGGCGUGAGCCACUGCGCCAGGCUGGUGGUGUUCAUUUUUCUGUUUACUUGAGAACUGAUUCCUCUUACCUUCCCUCCCUGGCAGAUGCACUGUGCACCACCCCACCUUCAGCACCUAAAACAUUGCCUGCAACGUGGUGGACGCUGAGGAAAUACUGUUGGCUGGGUGUGAUCCUGAGCACUUGGCUCUCAGAUGAUACCUGCAGCCUGAAAAGAGUCUCAGCUAUGAAGACUCUCCAGCUGUGGAUACUGGGAAGCUUGAAGGGCUGAUCUCACAGGUAAGCCAGAUCACUCUUGUUCUGUACAGUGUUUAAUAGCAGCUAAUUCUACUAACACAUAGCUUAUUCUAUUGUUCCCACUGAAUGCUUACAACAGCCCCAUGUAACAGUACUACAAUUCAUAGUUUUCAUAUGAAGUUUGUCACAGAAAAGUUGACUUGCCCAAGAUCACAGAAAUAGAAGUUGGCCAAACCAAAAUUCAUACCCUAACUAUGAUGAUACGGUUUUCUUGUUUCCUUCUUGUUCGUUAUAGAUAUUUAAUAAAAUUUUGCCUCAACAAUUGAUCUUUUUUUUUUACUGGCAUCACAGGAAGAAAAGAAGCCAGUGUCUGUGCUUGCUGGGGACAAUUUGAUGAUGGUGGGAACAUUGGCAGGAGAAACCCCAAGGCAAAGUGCACCUCAAAAAUACCAGUGUCUUCUAGAUAUUUCCUCUCUGAUGUUAACAUAGAAGUACAAUAGCUUUUCUUAAACAGGGACCUGCAUAACUGCAUUCACAGGCUUCUUAGAUUAUAUCUCUUAAAAUGCACCUUAUUAAUCUUGGUACUACAUAACUAAGCUCAGAGCCAGACAGUAGACUCUGUUGGAGGCAUGAAUCAUUUUGACUCCUAAUUGGUUAAUAGGUAAGCACACAUAGACCCCUCUCCAGCUUUUGUCUUAUUUUAACCUCCCGUAAAACACCGUUUAUAGGUUCCAUGUGCAGAAUUUCAAGCAGACAAGCAUGAGGCUGAAAAGUAUUACAUUUUCUUGUUAAAGGCUAUAGUCACCUAUUACAGGAACACAGGGAUAUGAUGUUGGAAGAGCUCUCUAUUUGGACCUCUCCAGAUGACUCAGCUGUAACAAAGACCCUAUGGGAAUGCUUUGAAAAUUCUAAGAAUUUUUAGAAUAAGCCGAGCCAGGAGAGCAUAUGUGAAAUUUUGAGGAGGAAUAUUGGAGACUGCAAUGCUUAGGUCAAGGGCACUUCAGGAUGCUCCACUCAGUAACAGGCUAGGUAUUUCAGGGUUUCCAAGUUAAUGGUGACUUCAUUGAUACUACAGAGCAUUACUGAGAAUUUCUAUCUUCUGGCUUUCUCCCAAAUUCUCAGUAAUUACUGAUCUGGCUUUGGUUCUAAUUCACCUGCCCUACUGUGUGAUCUAUAGCAAGGGAUCACUGGAUUGGAGUUUCUAUUGAUAUCAUGGGCUGAUAUUAAUAGAACUCAAGGCUGAGCUCACUGAUUAUUUUAUUUAUAGGUCAGAUACUGCAAAGAGAAAGAGGCAACUAAAGACUGGAGGUGAGAAGGGGUGUGGAAGAACUCAGACAGUAGUGUAUCCACAAGCUUUGGAGCUCUGUGAUGGUGAUCAGGAAAGGAUUGUUUUCCAAAUUCCUGUAGGGAUGAUUAUUCAAUGAUAGUCAAAAUGUUUAUUUAGAUUCAGGACUUAAUGAGGGAGAUUUUGUAGAGUGAGAUUUUUACCUACACUGAAAGUGCCUUGUGGACAAGGGGCCAUGCCUUUGCCAUAAUCUUGGUACAUGACAUUACGUCAACUCCACUGUCCAAUAUCAACAACUGUUUGGUGACAUGGACUGGGUGAAGCAACUGAACUUGAUAGACAAGGAACUUUAUAGGAAUCAUAAUUGUAAUUACAAAGGCUUCCUGGUUAUUUACUAUCAGAGUCUGUCUAGUCACCUACCAGGUGAUCUGUCCAUGUGAGAGAUGCCUAGAUGGGUCCUUUUCUGAGAUGCUCUAGAGCUGUGUACAUUAGUACACAGCUAAUGGCCACAUCAUAGUACAAAUCACUAAUCAUAUCUCUGUGCUUGGAGCUGGUUGUAUUAAUGAAGGGGUUUGGGGGGUCUGAAGAGUCAAGACCUUGAAGUGGGAGGGAAAACAUUAGCUAGGGAAGAAGUUAUGUGGGAGAGUCCAGGUCCUUGAUUAAAACCAUCACUUUAUACCAGUUAGUUCUAGUGUUGCCCAAAGACCUACUGUCUUUCCCAUAGCACCUGCUUG
ensembl:lncRNA